UGAAAUUUCAGUCUUAAGAAGAUAAUGAUGGCAUAACCAGCAUUUUAAAACGUUGUAAGCAUAAACAUUCGCCAACUAGAUUACAUUGGUAUCGAAGGAACUAGAUUCUGUUCCGAAAUAUCACUUACUCGAACCGACCUGACCGCGUAGCUCAGUUGGCAGAGCAUUGGGCUAGUAUUCCAAAGGUCGUAGGUUCAAAAUCUAAAAAAUCUAUGCGGAUAAAUUACCACAUAAAUAUAAUUAAUUAAAUCUACA